UACGGAGGGAGCUAGCGUUGUUCGGAAUUACUGGGCGUAAAGCGCACGUAGGCGGAUAUUUAAGUGAGGGGUGAAAUCCCAGGGCUCAACCCUGGAACUGCCUCUCAUACUGGGUAUCUCGAGUUCGAGAGAGGUGAGUGGAAUUGCGAGUGUAGAGGUGAAAUUCGUAGAUAUUCGCAGGAACACCAGUGGCGAAGGCGGCGCACUGGCUCGAUACUGGCGCUGAGGUGCGAAAGCGUGGGGAGCAAACAGG
rnacentral:rRNA from 1 species